rnacentral:lncRNA from 10 species
GCAGUCGACUUGCGCCAGCCCAGAGGCUGGGGAGGCGUCCGAGCCUCCGUCCCGCCUCGUCGUUGAAGAAGGUUAAGGACAAGCGCCAGCUCACCUGCGCUGGGGCAGGGAAGGGCAGAGUGGCCGAGCCCGGGAGGGCGCGACAGGGGCGAGGCGACCCCAGUCCAGAGGCUGACUUCCUCACCGCCCUGGGUCCCGUAAGUGGGAGCGCCGGUCCGGUGCAAGCUCACGGCCUAUCCGUGAAUCUCCUCGGCUUCAGCGGGGACCCAGGACCCCGCUCCCUACCCGCCCGACCCUCCGUGGCCCGCGGGGACGCUCAGCGCCCGGGCCGUGCGCGCGGAAAGAGCCGCACCGGAGGAGGCGCAGGCGGCCGGGUCCCUACCCCGGACCCGCGGGCGGCGCCCCCGCCCCCACCCCCACCCGCCCCGCGCCCCGGGAGCGCAGGCAGGCGGCGGUAGGGGGCGGGGAGCGGCCACGGUGGCCGCCGCCGGACCCCAGUCGCGCGGCCCUCGCGCCACGCCCCACCUCGGCCCGGACCCACCUGCGCUCCUGCCCCGGCCGCGGCCUGGCCCGGGGCUGCACCAGCCCGACGCAGUGGUGGCGGCAGCAGCGGUGGCGGGAGGCCUGGCUCACUCCCCACCGCUGAGUCGGACCGAGCACCCAGCGCGGCGCGGCGGCGCCCAACGCUCGCCCCGAAACCCAUUUGUUUGGCUAAAACGGAGUGACGUCACGCGCCGGCCCAAUCGACGGUUGGCCGGGGGAGGGGCCACGGAUCCAGAGUUUCACGGCGCCCCCUGCCGGACACUGGGGGCGGGAAGGGGGAAGUGAAAAGGGAGACCUGGAUGACGCGUCUGCGGCCCCCAAGUGGUAGAGAAUGAAAGUUUGAGCACGACUGUAGGGAAAGGAAUCAAACCUCCCAGGCCAGCCAAGAAGGGUAGUGACGCCAGGGUUCAAUCAGCAGACAUGUCAAGUUUAUGAAUAUUCGUGGGUGGACCUGAAGCUGUAAAUGGUCUCAGAUACUAUUAGAUAACCUAGUAGACCUGGAUCCUCAUACUGGUUCUGCUGCUAGCUUGGAAGGCUGGGGUUCAGAGUUUCAAUUUGUAAAAUGACAAAAUUGGAAAGGUCCCUUCUGACUCUCUUUCCUAUGAAAAUCAUGGCAGGGAUACCGGUCAGAAAGUAGAUAAACGUUGAGGCUGACACGAAACUGUUAAAGUCUGUAGAAGCUUAAGGGCUGGUUAAUGAUGGAUAUAAAUUUUUAACACUUUAUAUUCAAAUCAGAGGGCCAGUGAGGAACUUUUGAUUCCCAAUCUUUAAGCUUAUUAUUGUUUUCAUUGUGAAAAUAAUAUUAACCACAUUGAAAAACAUGAGGACAAUGUAUUUUCUUCUAGACCUUUUGCCCCAUCACAUAUAUUUUACUACACUGUAAUAGUAGUUGUACGCGAUUUUGCAUCCUCUUUUCACUUUUAUAAGCAUUCCUCAUAUUUCCACAUAAGCUUCAUAACCAGUUUAACAGCUGCAUAAAAUUACAUUAAGUGGACAUAAAAUUUACUGCAGUAAUUCUCUAUUUUUGGACAUAACUUGUUUCCUUCAUUCACUUUUUGCCAUUAUAAAGAAAUCAUAGAACAUCUUCAUGAAUGUAGAUUUUUAAAGAUACCCAAAAGUGAAAUUACUAGGUGAAAAAGACUAUCAACACUUUCACAGUUACUAAUACAAACUGCCAAAUGAUUUUUAAAAGGUUGUACCAAGUUACACUUAAACCAGCAACUUUGAUUUUAGCCAGUCCUUAACAAAAAUAAUUUUGUCCAAUUAUAAAACUACUGUUGUAAAAUAUAUGUGUAAAAUCUUAAAUAUUAAAACGUAAAAACAAAAUAAAAAUAUUUCCCAUAAUCUCAUCACCAAGAAAUAACCACUCAGUAUCUCCAUCUAGACCUUUAUCUAUAUACAUAUUUUUAAUAAAAAUUGGAGAGGGGAAGUCCAGGCACGGUGGCUCACAUCUCAAAAAGGAAAAAAAAAAUUAAGGAAGGGUGUUAUAUGGUACACCGUGGCAUCAAACUGUAUGUCU